rnacentral:rRNA from 1 species
AACGUAGGUUCCGAGCGUUAUCCGGAUUUACUGGGCGUAAAGCGCGUUCAGGCGGUUUGGCAAGUCGGGCAUGAAAUCUCUCGGCUCAACCGGGAGAGGUUGUCCGAUACUGCUGGACUUGAGGGCAGUAGAGGGUGGUGGAAUUCCGGGUGUAGUGGUGAAAUGCGUAGAUAUCCGGAGGAACACCGGUGGCGAAGGCGGCUUCCUGGACCGACACUGACGCUGAGGCGCGAAAGCUAGGGGAGCAAACGGG